GUUUCUAUAGUUGAAUUACAACGGUGGUUUUUCAUAUCAUUGGUCGUGGUUAAAUUCCAUGUAGGAAUA
rnacentral:tRNA from 1 species